GACGAACGUUGGCGGCGUGCUUAACACAUGCAAGUCGAACGGAAAGGCCCUGCUUUUGUGGGGUGCUCGAGUGGCGAACGGGUGAGUAACACGUGAGUAACCUGCCCUUGACUUUGGGAUAACUUCAGGAAACUGGGGCUAAUACCGGAUAGGAGCUCCUGCUGCAUGGUGGGGGUUGGAAAGUUUCGGCGGUUGGGGAUGGACUCGCGGCUUAUCAGCUUGUUGGUGGGGUAGUGGCUUACCAAGGCUUUGACGGGUAGCCGGCCUGAGAGGGUGACCGGCCACAUUGGGACUGAGAUACGGCCCAGACUCCUACGGGAGGCAGCAGUGGGGAAUAUUGCACAAUGGGCGGAAGCCUGAUGCAGCAACGCCGCGUGCGGGAUGACGGCCUUCGGGUUGUAAACCGCUUUCGCCUGUGACGAAGCGUGAGUGACGGUAAUGGGUAAAGAAGCACCGGCUAACUACGUGCCAGCAGCCGCGGUGAUACGUAGGGUGCGAGCGUUGUCCGGAUUUAUUGGGCGUAAAGGGCUCGUAGGUGGUUGAUCGCGUCGGAAGUGUAAUCUUGGGGCUUAACCCUGAGCGUGCUUUCGAUACGGGUUGACUUGAGGAAGGUAGGGGAGAAUGGAAUUCCUGGUGGAGCGGUGGAAUGCGCAGAUAUCAGGAGGAACACCAGUGGCGAAGGCGGUUCUCUGGGCCUUUCCUGACGCUGAGGAGCGAAAGCGUGGGGAGCGAACAGGCUUAGAUACCCUGGUAGUCCACGCUGUAAACGGUGGGUACUAGGUGUGGGGUCCAUUCCACGGGUUCCGUGCCGUAGCUAACGCUUUAAGUACCCCGCCUGGGGAGUACGGCCGCAAGGCUAAAACACAAAGGAAUUGACGGGGCCCCGCACAAGCGGCGGAGCAUGCGGAUUAAUUCGAUGCAACGCGUAGAACCUUACCUGGGUUUGACAUGGAUCGGGAGUGCUCAGAGAUGGGUGUGCCUCUUUUGGGGUCGGUUCACAGGUGGUGCAUGCCUGUCGUCAGCUCGUGUCGUGAGAUGUUGGGUUAAGUCCCGCAACGAGCGCAACCCUUGUUCACUGUUGCCAGCACGUUAUGGUGGGGACUCAGUGGAGACCGCCGGGGUCAACUCGGAGGAAGGUGGGGAUGACGUCAAGUCCUCAUGCCCCUUAUGUCCAGGGCUUCACGCAUGCUACAAUGGCUGGUACAGAGAGUGGCGAGCCUGUGAGGGUGAGCGAAUCUCGGAAAGCCGGUCUCAGUUCGGAUUGGGGUCUGCAACUCGACCUCAUGAAGUCGGAGUCGCUAGUAAUCGCAGAUCAGCAACGCUGCGGUGAAUACGUUCCCGGG
rnacentral:rRNA from 1 species